AGUGAACGCUGGCGGUAGGCCUAACACAUGCAAGUCGAACGGCAGCACAGUAAGAGCUUGCUCUUACGGGUGGCGAGUGGCGGACGGGUGAGGAAUACAUCGGAAUCUACUUUUUCGUGGGGGAUAACGUAGGGAAACUUACGAUAAUACCGCAUACGACCUACGGGUGAAAGCAGGGGAUCUUCGGACCUUGCGCGAUUGAAUUAGCCGAUGUCGGAUUAGCUAGUUGGCGGGGUAAAGGCCCACCAAGGCGACGAUCCGUAGCUGGUCUGAGAGGAUGAUCAGCCACACUGGAACUGAGACACGGUCCAGACUCCUACGGGAGGCAGCAGUGGGGAAUAUUGGACAAUGGGCGCAAGCCUGAUCCAGCCAUACCGCGUGGGUGAAGAAGGCCUUCGGGUUGUAAAGCCCUUUUGUUGGGAAAGAAAAGCAGCAGGUUAAUACCCCGCUGUUCUGACGGUACCCAAAGAAUAAGCACCGGCUAACUUCGUG
rnacentral:rRNA from 1 species